GUGAAGUCGGUGGGCUCGAAUUAUAUUUUGGAUCUUGUUGAUCAUUUCUUACAUUCAGAUGAUUCUGUCGGAUUCGUUUCGAAAGAGUAACGUCAAAUUCUAGAAACAACAAUCUUAAAACGAAUUUGUAUUAUUAUUUUGUUUCUGUUUCUACUCCUUAUUACUGUUAAUCUUCUGAUUGUGUUUCAGAAAUGGCAACUUUCUGGUACCACACUCCCGAAUACGACCGGGGAAAAACCAGAAAAGUUUAAUGGGUCAGAUUUCAAGCGUUGGCAACAAAAAAUGCUUUUUUAUCUGACAACAUUAAAUCUGGCUAAAUUUUCCAAAGAAGACGCGCCUUUAUAUACCAAGCAAGACAGUGAUGCUGAAAAAUUGGCUGCGGUUGAUGAAUGGAAGUAUUCUGAUUUCUUGUGCAGAAAUUAUAUAGUUAAUGGACUGAAUAACACAUUAUAUAAUGCGUAUUGCAAUGCUAAGUCCGCAAAAGAACUGUGGGAAUCUUUGGACACAAAGUACAAAAUCGAAGAUGUCGGCACGAAGAAAUUCAUUGUCGGUCGUUUUUUGGACUAUAAAAUGGUUGACAACAAGACUAUCAUAUCCCAAGUUCAAGAAUUUCAAAUAAUACUUAGCGACAUCCAUGCCGAAGGAAUGAAACUAAGUGAAUCAUUUCAAGUCGCUGCACUGAUUGAGAAAUUACCACCUUCAUGGAAGGAUUUCAAGAAUUACCUAAAGUACAAGCGGAAGGAAAUGAAACUUGAAGAUAUCGUUGUCCGAUUGAGAAUAGAAGAAGACAAUCGCAAAACUGAAAAAAAGGAAUGGUGCAUCUCAUUCGAUGGAAUCAAAAAUCAACAUUGUAGAAGGAGAUUUCAAGACUAG
rnacentral:lncRNA from 1 species